AGCAGCCGCGGUAAUUCCAGCUCCAAUAGCGUAUAUUAAAGUUGUUGCAGUUAAAAAGCUCGUAGUUGAAUUUCGGGGUUAGUAGGUUGGUCAUGCCUCUGGUAUGUACUGGUCUCACUGAUUCCUCCUUCCUGAUGAACCUUAAUGCCAUUAAUUUGGUGUUUUGGGGAAUUUGGACUGUUACUUUGAAAAAAUUAGAGUGUUUAAAGCAAGCUAACGCUUGAAUACAUUAGCAUGGAAUAAUGAAAUAGGACGUUCGAUCCUAUUUUGUUGGUUUCUAGGAUUGACGUAAUGAUUAAUAGGGAUAGUUGGGGGCAUUAGUAUUCAAUUGUCAGAGGUGAAAUUCUUGGAUUUAUUGAGGACUAACUACUGCGAAAGCAUUUGCCAAGGAUGUUUUCAUUAUCAAGAACGAAGUUAGGGAUCGAAGACGAUCAGAUACGUCGUAGUCUUAACCAUAAACUAUGCCGACUAGGGAUCGGAUGAUGUUAAUUUUUANGUACUNAUUCGGCGCUUACGGGAA
rnacentral:rRNA from 1 species